rnacentral:rRNA from 1 species
UACGUAGGGUGCGAGCGUUGUCCGGAAUUAUUGGGCGUAAAGGGCUCGUAGGCGGUCUGUCGCGUCGGUAGUGAAAACUCAGGGCUUAACCCUGAGCCUGCUUCCGAUACGGGCAGACUAGAGGUAUGCAGGGGAGAAUGGAAUUCCUGGUGUAGCGGUGAAAUGCGCAGAUAUCAGGAGGAACACCAGUGGCGAAGGCGGUUCUCUGGGCAUUACCUGACGCUGAGGAGCGAAAGUGUGGGAGGCGAACAGG